GAGGAAUAUUGGUCAAUGGGCGAGAGCCUGAACCAGCCAAGUAGCGUGCAGGAUGACGGCCCUAUGGGUUGUAAACUGCUUUUGUAUGGGGAUAAAGUCAAUCACGUGUGAUUGUUUGCAGGUACCAUACGAAUAAGGACCGGCUAAUUCCGUGCCAGCAGCCGCGGUAAUACGGAAGGUCCGGGCGUUAUCCGGAUUUAUUGGGUUUAAAGGGAGCGUAGGCCGUGGAUUAAGCGUGUUGUGAAAUGCAGGUGCUCAACGUCUGCACUGCAGCGCGAACUGGUCCACUUGAGUGUGCACAACGCAGGCGGAAUUCGUCGUGUAGCGGUGAAAUGCUUAGAUAUGACGAAGAACUCCGAUUGCGAAGGCAGCUUGCGGGAGCACAACUGACGCUGAAGCUCGAAAGUGCGGGUAUCGAACAGGAUUAGAUACCCUGGUAGUCCGCACAGUAAACGAUGGAUGCCCGCUGUUGGUACUUGGUAUCAGCGGCUAAGCGAAAGCAUUAAGCAUCCCACCUGGGGAGUACGCCGGCAACGGUG
rnacentral:rRNA from 1 species